GAAAGAAAAGCAUCGGACGGAUACCUAGACAUAAAAUAGAUGUACGGACGUAAAAAAAUGCGAUAAUGCGUUAAAAUUAUCCUUAAAAAGGUAUUUAAAAUAAAAAUUUGACGAUAUCCGUAGAGAAAACUUUCCUUGAUAAGAUAUCACAAGUAGGAAUUGUUUAUUUAACAAAAUAACUUUGUGAAGUGAAACAUCUCAGUAACAAAAGGAAAAAACAUCAAACGAGAAUUUGUAAGUAGUGGCGAACGAACACAAAAAUGUCCAUAAAAACUAAAAAAAAAUAUAAAAAGGUAAACCAAAGAUAUUUUAAUAUCUUAGGAAUAACUUUUAUCCAACCAAAAAAGAAACCUCUUAGGGUUUCCGUAAGGUACAUAUAUAAAAUUGUGAGUAAAAAGCAACCUAAGAUGGUGAUUAGUCCAGUAUAGUAUAUGUAAAAAAUGGAAAUUAAUGAAGAAAAAAAAAGUAAAACGGCACAUGUGAAAUGCUGUUUGAAAAUUGGGGAACCAUUCUCAAAGGACAAAGAUAUAUUUUAUGAUCCAUAGUGAACGAGUACCGUGAGGGAAAGGUGAGAAAAAAAAAUUGAAAUCCGAAUGUUCAACAAGCAGUUGAAGUCAAAAAAAAUAAACCUAUUAUUUAAAGAACAACAGCGUACCUUUUGUAUAAUGGGCCAGCAAGUUUAGUAGUAUUGGCAAAGCUUUAAAUAACUAAGGCGUAGCGAAAGCGAGUUUGAAAAAUAACAAAAUAUAUAAUGUCAAUAAUCUAAGACCCGAAACUGACUGAUCUAGUUAUGGCCAGGCUGAAACCCGUGUAAAAGUGGUGUGGAGGGCCGAAAGCACGUCUGUGGAAAUAGGCGGCUAUGAGCUGUGACUAGGAGUGAAAGGCUAAUCAAAGUCAGUGAUAGCUGGUUUUCCGCGAAAUCUAUUUAGGUAGAGCGUAUCUUAGAUAAAAAAAAAAUCGUGGGGUAGAGCUCUGUUCAGGAAAGGGGGUGUCAAAACCUACCGACCUUAAGCAAACUUCGAAUACACUAGAGAGAACUAAGAUAUAGACAGUCCAUGGGUGAUAAGAUCCAUGGUCGAGAGGGCAACAGCCCAGAUUGAAAGUUAAGGUCCCAAAAUUUGUUCUAAGUCUAAGGAGGUCUUCAAAUGAAAAGAAUACUAAGGUAGGCCCGGAAGCAGCCAGCCUUAAAACUUCGGAAAGCGUAAUAGCUCACAGACCUAAUUUCUUGGCACUAAAAAUGUAUGGGUUUAAAGAACAAUACCGAAACAACAACUUCUAAUGAUUUUUUUGAUUUAGGGGGGUAGCGGAACUAUCUGUUUUCCAUCGACGAAAUAUUGUAAAAUUAUUUAAGAGGAAUCAGAGUGAUAAUGCUGGCAUGAGUAACGAUAAACUUCAUGAAGAAUUGAAGUCGCCGUAAGCCUAAGGUUUUCUUACACAAUGUUCGACAGUGUAGAGUAAGUUCGGUCUCUAAGUAAAACCUGAAAAGGUUAUAUGAUGAGUAUUCAAUCUUCGGAUUAUCCGAAGGUAAAGUUUUUCGUGGACAGUUUUGAAUAUUUAACUUUUAGUAUUUGGAUAUGAAUUAAUUGUUAAAUUAAAAAUUCUAGAAAAAGCGAAUUAUAUAAAAACCGUACCCUAAACCGACACAGGUAGGCAGGCAUAAAUGUGCUAAGGCGCGUGGGAGAACUGUUUUGAAGGAACUCGGCAAAAAAAACCUCGUAACUUCGGAAUAAGAGGGGCUUAUUUAAAAAUAAGCUACAAAUAACACGGGAUGGCAACUGUUUAAUAAAAACACAGGUCUUUGCUAAUUUGUAAAAAAAUGUAUAAAGGCUGACAACUGCCCGGUGCUGCAAGAUUAACUUAUGAGGAGUUUAGGCUCUCACGGGAAGUCCCAGUAAACGGCGGCGGUAACUCUGACCGUCCUAAGGUAGCGAAAUUCAUUGGCCACUAAUUAUGGUCCUGCAUGAAUGUUGUAAUGACUGUCCCACUGUCUCCAAGACAGACCCAGUGAAAUUGAACUCUCCGUGAAGAUGCGGAGCAUUUUUGUUUAGACGCGAAGACCCUAUCGACCUUUACUACACUUUUAGAUUGUUCUUUAUUCGGUUGUAUUUAGCAUAGAUGGGAGUCGAGGGGUGCCCCUUUGGGCAUGCAUUAUUAUAAUGUAGUUUGAUAGACGCCAGUUUAUCUUAAAGACAACAAGUGAAAUACCAUCUUCAAUACGUUUGAGGACUGAUUCAAUUAGAAUUCAAAGAUCUUUUAUAAAAUGAAAGAAAAAAUCUAUGACUGGUAGUUUAACUGGGGCGGUUGCCUCCUAAAGAGUAACGGAGGCGUACAAAGGUGAGUACCUUACUGUUUAACGGUAACGGAAGUGCAAUGGCAAAAACUUGCUUAACUGCGAGAGAUACAUCUCGAGCAGAAGCUUUUUAUAUUUAUAAAGAGCUGGUCAUAGUGAUCCGAUAACCCAUUAUGGAUUGGUUAUCGCUCAACGAAUAAAAGGUACCGUAGGGAUAACAGGCUAUUCCCCUUUUAGAGUCCCUAUCGAUGAGGGGGUUAGGCACCUCGAUGUCGGCUAAUCACAUCCUGGUGGUGUAGGCGCUGCCAAGGGUUCGACUGUUCGUCGAUUAAAGUGGUACUUGAGCUGGGUUUAGAACGUCGUGAGACAGUUUGGACUCUAUCUAACAAAAAUACCUAAAAAUUAUGAAGAGAGGGCAGAAGUACGCGAGGACGCUGUUCUAUGAAUCCCUGGUUUACUUGUUGUUUUACCAAAAGCAUCGCAAGGUAGCUACAUUCUUUCUGGAUAAUUACUGAAAGCAUCUAAGUAAGAAACCAUCUUCAAAUAUGGAUUUUUAAGUUUUAUCUGAGGGUAUUAUUUUAUCUAAAGAUAUUCUAAUAAAGGUAAAAGACUUCAUUACUUAAAUAGGUCUAAGGCAUAAAAUAAGCAAUUAUUGUACUUAUAGAUACUAA
rnacentral:rRNA from 1 species